CAGCAAGCCCGCAAGGGACAUAGCUUCAGAAUUCGAGGGAGCAGAUUCAGGAUGGAGAUGAGGAGGAACUGUUUUUCCCAGAGAGUGGUGAAUCUGUGGAAUUCCCUACCCAAUGAAGCAGUGGAGGCUACCUCGGGGAGACCUUUACAAAGGGACACUGCAAGGCCACACAGCAUCUAUGAAGAAACAGAGUAACACAGACGUGAUGCUGGAGGAACUCAGCAGAAAGCUGGAAACUACUACCAAUAUACCAGACUGUCUCACAAACAAGAGAAAAUCUGUAGAUGCUGGAAUUCUCAGCAACACACAAAAUACUGGAGGAACUCUGCAGGUCAGGCAGCAUCUGUGGAAAAGAAGUACAGUCGACGUUUCAGACCGAAACCCUUCAGCUGUCUCAAGAGAGAUCGGCAUUGUGAAAGCAUCCAGAUAUUGUGUACAACUCAAUGUGUACUUUUACAGAACUGCAGUAGUUGGUAUUUUGUAUGUGACUGUUCAAUUAUUUAACUUGCCCAAACAACAGCCUUCAAUAUUUAAUGAUACUUUACUAUCUAUAAAUGUAUCUGUGAAUAAAUUGGGUCGGUAGAUGGUAGAAGAGACCAGCUAGGAUCUAACUGAAUGGUGAAAGAGACGCCAAAGGUUUGAGUGACACAUUCUGGUCCCUGCCUUAACUUAGUGAGUAGAUAUCAGUUAGCCUCUGUUGUUCGGGGAUGACCAUGGAUGUUGUGCCCGAGCUGUCUAAUGAGGUCAUUACACAAACCAGUAUUCAACCCGGGCAGUACAAUAUGGAGAGCAAGCUGUUGUCCAUGCAGCAGGCCCCCCUCUCCAUGCACCUAAUAAAUCUAAAGCCCGAUACAUUUUGACACCAGUGGGAUCACGGGAGCUGCCAGUCAGCAUUGAACUCAGCUUAGGGACUCCAGCUCUGGAUUUUUCCCUUGGGGUUUACUCCCGAAGCCUUCCCCAUGAGUGGGUAUAGCACAAGGCAGCGGAGGUUUGAGAUCAGAGUUUUCCUUCUACUAGAUGAGAUACCAAUCCCGGAUGACAAUCCCAUCUCCCUGAAGUGACUGGUUAAGGCAGCAGUAACCCGCCUUCGCCACUUCUCCUGUCAGUAAAAACAGUUGCACUGGGGUUAGUAGCUGAGCCGCACGAGAAGUUCAGAAGCUGUCAGAGGCUACUUGAGCACUGACCAUUGGAAAUGUUUACUAGGUGGUGGCAGUUAUCCCCAACUCCCUCUCCCACCCAGUAAUGAUAAUCUAAAGGAGCAGGUGAGUACCUGAUUUAGCAAUUAAUUCAAAAUGGUGCCGUUUACUAUCAGAGAAUGUAAUCAGUAUACAACCUGAAAUACUUGUCUUUGCAGACAUCCAUGAAAAAAUAGAGCUCCAAAAGAAUAAAUGACAGAAAACGUUGGAACCCCAAAUCCCCCUCUCCCCCUCCCCCACACAAGCAUCAACGCAUCAGCCUCCCCCUGCCCCUGCCCCUGCCCGUUUCAGCGCCCACCACCCACCACCCACAAAGCAACAGCAAAGCACCCGGAGGGAGACCAUGAUCUGCAGUCAAUUAAAAACUAUUGUUUACCCGACAGUUCAACAUGCCACAGGUUCUCUCUCUCUCUCACUAACAAGGGACAGAGAGACAUCACCCAUUUUCACAGCGAAAGGGAGACUGACAGUCGCUGUUUUGAUAUUACAGUCUGCUGUGUUGCUUUUCAUUCCAAGAUUUGGCAGCAACUCUCCCCACCAUCAAAAGAAAGAGGGAGUUCAAUUGCUCGACUACAGAGACCUCUGCCCGUAUAUCCGCUGCGACGAAAUCCUGAUAUUCCAUCUCCUGCGACGCCUCAGUUGGCAACACCGGCCUGGAACUGGUCGUCCACCGGGCCACAGCCUGCACUCUGGCAUCUUCCAUGCCGUGUCUGGAGAAUGUUGGAAAACGGCCAGUCGGUCAGUGAGAUCCAAGAAUGGGAACUCAUCGCCCAGAAAAAAAAACGUAGUUUUAAUGACACUCAGAUUGAGAGAUUUGAGUAGUGCAUCAGAUCAACAUUUACUAUUUGUUCAUAAGGGUUUGAACUGUGGAUCAGCUUCCAAUGUCACCCUUGCAUCUCACAAAAUGCUGGAGGAAAUAGCAGGUCAAGCAGCAUAAAUAGAGGGGGAUAAAAAGUCAUUGUUUCAGGCUGUGACCCUUCAUCUGGACUGGAAAGGAAGGAGGAAGGAGGGAAGGAGUACAAGUUGGCAAGUAACAGGUGAAACUAGGUGAGUGGGAAGGGGGGACAAAGUAAGAAGGUAGAAGGUGAUAGGUGGAAGACAUAAAGGGCUGAAGAAGAAAGAAUCUGAUAGGAGAGGACCAUGGGAGAAAGGGAAAGAGCAGGGGAGCCAAAAGGGGUGAUGGGAAUGUGAGGAGAAAGGAAGUAGCAAGAUGGGACCCAGAAUGGGGAAUGUAAGGAGAAAAGGGGGAGUCAUUACAGGAAGUUGGAGAAAUCGAUGUUCUUGCCAUCAGGUUGGAGGCUACCCAGAUGGAAUAGGAAGUGUUGCUCCUUCACCUGAAGAUAGCCUCAUCACAGCAGUGGAGGAGCAACAUGUCAGAAUGGGGAUGACGAAGGUGGCAGAGAAACCCUGCCUGCAGUGGCAGACAGGGACCAGGAGUUCAACUGCAUUGAAGGCCAAUAACAAGAGGAAAGUGUCGAUGCCCAUACUCCAAACCUGACUGGACCGUCCCCAGCCUGCAGCAAAGGCACCAGGACCUGGUGACACAAGGGACAGCAGAUGUCGAAAUUUGGAACAACACACAAAUAGUCCAGGUGAAGGGGUUUGAAAUGUCCUUUUGCUUUCAUAGGUGAAUCGUAGCCUGCUGAUUUCCUCCAUCGCUCACCAGCAGUGUUGUGCUUUCAUACAUGUAUCGAACAACAAUAACUUCAAUAUACCAUUUCAAUAGUUCAGUAAACAUGAGGCAAUUACCCAUUGUGUAAUCAAACUCGUCAGACUUUCCAACGUUGCCAGGCAUUCUGCUUUUAUUUAUUAUUAAUGUCUGGUACUCACUCUUUAUGAACCCUGAAUUCAUUCUUUUUUGGCCUUUUUUAAAAAAAAGUCUUGAUCAUGUCUUUCCUACCGAAGACCAUCUGUGCAAGUGCUGGGCUGUUUUACCAUUCCACUUACAGUGGAAUGUCUCACUGUGUUUUAACAGGUCGAUAGCUGUCUCGGGUUCAUUUUGAAAAUAACUGGUCGCCAAUGUUAUAUUUUUCAACUUCAAAAUGUUAAAUUAACUUAAAGGAAGACGUGCAGAUCCAAAAUGCAGGUAGAACUUUGCCUUUUGCUUACAGUGAUGUAUGUACGUACCAUGUGGUAGCGUGACAAUAUAGGCAAUUAACAUACUUCUACAUAUAACCCAUAAUUAGUUAUUUAAACACGAAUGCUUAAUCUGUAUAUUUAUAUAUACACAGACACAAAAGAUUACUCAAUAUUAUCAAAAUGUUAAAUACACAACAAGGAUUCAUAAACAGAGCUCAGAGAUGGGUAGUAAUUGGAGACAAAAGGGGUGAACACACUGACAGAAUGGCUGGUGUGAGCCAAUUCGAAAGAAUUAGACUAGAGCUGGGGGAAGUCUACAGGACAAUGAAUUCAAACACGAGGAAACCUGCAGAUGCUGGAAUUUCAAGCAACACGCAUAAAAGUUGCUUGUGUACGCAGCAGGCCAGGCAGCAUCUCUAGGAAGAGGUACAGUCGAUGUUUCGGGCCAAGACCCUUCAUCAGGACUAACUGAAAGAAGAGAUAGUAAGAGAUUUGAA